rnacentral:rRNA from 1 species
GACGAACGCUGGCGGCGUGCCUAAUACAUGCAAGUUGAGCGCUGAAGAUUGGUACUUGUACCGAUUGGAUGAGCAGCGAACGGGUGAGUAACGCGUGGGGAAUCUGCCUUUGAGGGGGGGACAACAUUUGGAAACGAAUGCUAAUACCGCAUAAUAGCUUUAAACAUAAGUUUUAAGUUUGAAAGAUGCAAUUGCAUCACUCAAAGAUGAUCCCGCGUUGUAUUAGCUAGUUGGUGAGGUAAAGACUCACCAAGGCGAUGAUACAUAGCCGACCUGAGAGGGUGAUCGGCCACAUUGGGACUGAGACACGGCCCAAACUCCUACGGGAGGCAGCAGUAGGGAAUCUUCGGCAAUGGACGAAAGUCUGACCGAGCAACGCCGCGUGAGUGAAGAAGGUUUUCGGAUCGUAAAACUCUGUUGUUAGAGAAGAACGACGAGGAGAGUGGAAAGCUCCUCGUGUGACGGUAUCUAACCAGAAAGGGACGGCUAACUACGUGCCAGCAGCCGCCGUAA